GCUGUCGCCAAGUUAGCUGUUUCUAGUGGAUCCCUUGACUCUUUUGCUGUGAUGGUUCCCCUCAUGUAGGGCUGUCUAAAAUGACACCCCGUGACUGAUGACCUGACCAAACGUGAAGACGCUACCUCUGACUCUUCAGUGGGGAAGAAGGAGGGAGAAAUGGCCGACGCCCUUGGUUCUGACGGCGAGGCAGUGGAGAUGGAAGAAGCUCCUGCAGACACUCCAGACAGAGCUGGUGUUCUACAAUCAAAGGAAGAGGCUACCCUAUGGAGGACCACCACAACAGAUCUGAUGUUGAAUGUGGAGGACUCCAUCUUGGAUUGAAGGCCAAUGUGGGUUGUCUGGCCUUCAGCCCAUAGUACAGAAUC